rnacentral:lncRNA from 1 species
GGGGCUGGGAGUGCAUGGGCCAGAAUGGGGAAGGGAGUGCAAGGGCUGGAGUGGGGAAGAGAGUCCAUAGUCCAGAGUGGGGAAGGGAGUGCACAGGCCGGAGUGGGACUGGGAGUGCAUGAGCUGCAGUGGGGAGGGAGUACAUGGGCCGGAGUGGGGAAGAGGGUACACGGGCUGGAGUAGGGAAGGAAGUCCAGAGUGGGGAGUGGGGAAGGGAGUGCACAGGCCAGAGUGGGGCUGGGAGUGCAUGGGCCAGAGUAGGGAAGGGAGUGCACAGGCUGGAGUGGGGCUGGGAGUCCACAGGCCGGAGUGGGGAAGGGAAUGCACGGGCCGGAGUGGUGAGGGGAGUCCAUGGGCCGGAGUGGGGAAGGGAGUGCACAGGCAGAGUGGGGCUGGGGGCAGCCCAGGGCCUGCCUGACUCUUCCUCAGAGCCCGUGGCUGGCACUGCCUGGGGCAGCAGGGGCUGAGUGCCCCCUCAGCAGGACCAGCGAGCCCUCAGGAAGGCAUGAGAACAUGUGCUCCUGGAAGCCACAGAAACAUCCAGGAGAUGGAGACCUUUGCA